GAGGAUCAUUACUGAGAUUUACGCUCUAUAACCCUUUGUCGAACAUACCUAUAACUGUUGCUUCGGCGGGUAGGGUCCCCGUGACCCUCCCGGCCUCCCGCCCCCCGGGCGGGUCGGCGCCCGCCGGAGGAUAACCAAACUCUGAUUUAACGACGUUUCUUCUGAGUGGUACAAGCAAAUAAUCAAAACUUUUAACAACGGAUCUCUUGGUUCUGGCAUCGAUGAAGAACGCAGCGAAAUGCGAUAAGUAAUGUGAAUUGCAGAAUUCAGUGAAUCAUCGAAUCUUUGAACGCACAUUGCGCCCGCCAGCAUUCUGGCGGGCAUGCCUGUUCGAGCGUCAUUUCAACCCUCAAGCUCUGCUUGGUGUUGGGGCCCUACAGCUGAUGUAGGCCCUCAAAGGUAGUGGCGGACCCUCCCGGAGCCUCCUUUGCGUAGUAACUUUACGUCUCGCACUGGGAUCCGGAGGGACUCUUGCCGUAAAACCCCCAAUUUUCCAAAGGUUGACCUCGGAUCAGGUAGGAAUACCCGCUGAACUUAAGCAUAUCAUUAAACGAAGGAA
rnacentral:rRNA from 1 species